UACGAGGGGGGCGAGCGUUGUUCGGAAUUAUUGGGCGUAAAGGGUGCGUAGGCGGUUUGGUAAGUCUGAUGUGAAAUCUAUGGGCUCAACUCAUAGUCUGCAUCGGAAACUGUCGGGCUUGAGUGUGGGAGAGGUGAGUGGAAUUCCUGGUGUAGCGGUGAAAUGCGUAGAUAUCAGGAGGAACACCUGUGGCGAAAGCGGCUCACUGGACCAUAACUGACGCUGAUGCACGAAAGCUAGGGGAGCAAACAGG
rnacentral:rRNA from 1 species